GAAGGUAUAGCUCAGUGAUAGAGCAUGUGCUUAGCAUGCACAAGAUCCUGGGUUCAAUCCCCAGUACCUCCA
rnacentral:tRNA from 1 species